rnacentral:rRNA from 1 species
GAUGAACGCUAGCGGCAGGCCUAAUACAUGCAAGUCGUACGGUGUCUUCGGACAUAGUGGCGCACGGGUGCGUAACACGUAUGCAACCUACCUUACAUUGGGGGAUAGCCUUUCGAAAGGGAGAUUAAUACCGCAUAAGACAGUAGCUGGGCAUCCAGCAGCUGUUAAAGAUUUAUCGAUGUAAGCUGGGCAUGCGUCCAAUUAGCCAGUUGGUGAGGUAACGGCUCACCAAGGCAAUGAUUGGUAGGGGAACUGAGAGGUCAAUCCCCCACACUGGCACUGGGAUACGGGCCAGACUCCUACGGGAGGCAGCAGUAGGGAAUAUUGGGCAAUGGACGCAAGUCUGACCCAGCCAUGCCGCGUGCAGGAUGAAGGCGUUAUGCGUUGUAAACUGCUUUUAUACAGGAAGAAACGACUCUUGCGAGAGGCAUUGACGGUACUGUAUGAAUAAGCACCGGCUAACUCCGUGCCAGCCGCCGCCGUAACAC